rnacentral:tRNA from 1 species
GGAUCAGUAGCUUAGCUGGUAAAGUACUUGUCUAGCGUACAAGGGUCGUAAGUUCUAAUCUUACAUGAGCUG